rnacentral:rRNA from 1 species
AUGCAGGUGGUGACGGGGGCCAUGGGCGCCCUCAUCCCCAAGCUCUUCCAGCUCCUCAACGAGGAGUACAAGCUUCAGAAGGGUGUGAAGCAAGACGUCGAGUUCCUCACCAAAGAGCUUCCAAGCAUGCACGAAGCACUCCGCAAGGUGGCGGAUGUGCCGUGGGACAAGCUUGACAAGCAGGUGAAGAUCUGGGCUGACGAGGUCAGGGAGCUGUCAUACGUCAUGGAGGAUGUGGUUGACAGCUUCAUAGCAAGUGUCGAAGGCUCCGAGCCCGCCGCCAACUCAAAUAAGCUCAAGGAGCUCCUGAAGAAGAUGGGGAACUUGCUCCCCAGGGGUAAGGCUCGUCGUAAGAUUGCGAAGAAGAUUAAAGGCAUCAAGAUCCAAGUCAAGGAGGUGGCCGAGAGGCGUGACAGGUACGGGGUUAAUGGUGCGGUUGCUAAUCUAGCUGCAGCCCCACCUACCGUUGACCCUCGCUUGUUGGCUCUGUUCAAAGAGGAGAAAGAGCUUGUUGGCAUCGACGUCGCAAUGGACGAGAUAACCAAGAAGCUCACGGAUGGGGAUGGGGAUGGGGAUGUGCCCAAGCAACAAUUGAAGAUUCUCUCCAUUUUUGGAAUUGGGGGACUUGGCAAAACAGCUGUUGCCAAAGUAGUGCAUCAGGUGCUUCAAGAAAAAUUCAUGCUCAAGGCUUUUGUUUCGGUGGGUCAGAAGCCCGAUGUGAAGAAAGUCCUCAGGGACAUUUUCCUUGAGCUUGACAAGGAAGGCUACAAGAAAUCCAAUGCACAAAAGUUGGAUGAAAAGCAGCUCAUAGUAGAACUCCGAAAAUUACUUGAGAAUAAGAGGUACUUUAUUGUUAUUGAUGAUACAUGGGAUGUAGAAUCAAGGAAUAUAAUCAGUUGUGCUUUGAAGGAUAGUAACUGUGGAAGUAAAAUAAUCACAACUGCUCGUAGUUUGAAAGUCGCCAGAAAGUCCGGUGAGGCUUACCAGCUAAAGCCACUUUCCCCCAGCAACUCUGAAAAAUUAUUGUAUAUGAGAUUAUAUGGUGGUAAAAGCAAAUGCCCUAUUGAUCAUCCGCUUGAGAUAUCUAAAAAGAUUAUACAGAGAUGUGGUGGUGUACCAUUAGCUAUCCUUACAAUAGCUAGUUUGUUAGAUGGUAAAGUGAAAGAGGAUUGGUCUAAGGUCUAUGACUCAAUUGGUUUUGGGCACGGAAAAAACCAAGUUGUAGACAAUACAAGAAAGAUACUGCUAUUUAGCUGUUAUGAUCUACCCUAUUAUCUGAGACCUUGUUUUUUGUAUCUAAGCAUAUAUCCAGAAGACUACACAAUCAACAAAGAAACUUUGAUCUGGAAGUGGUCAGCAGAAGGUUUUAUCAAGGAGGAACCGGGGAUAGGGCAAUAUGAGCUUGGAGAGAGAUACUUCAGUGAGCUGGUGAAUAGAAGUAUGAUACAACCCAUCUGGGGCGGUCAUGGCUCAUGUUUCGUGACUGGUUGUCGUGUGCAUGAUCUUGUGCUUGAUAUGAUAUGUCUAUUGUCAAAUGAAGAGAAUUUUGUUAGGGUAUGGGAUGUUAAUGAUCAAAGGACAUCUCGCCAAAGUAAUUCUCGUAGGUUAGCCAUCCACAAGAUAGUCUUGGAGCAGGAUGACUCUCUGGCUAACAUGUUCACCCCACAAUUGAGGUCAUUCAGUGCCACCGGAUGUGAUUUCCAUGUGAUGCCAUCACUUACAAGUUUUGGAGCUUUACGUGUCCUAGAUAUGGAAGAUUGUAGUUUUAAUGGAGAUGACACUUAUCAUCUGGACCAUCUUGGGAGUUUCCUCCAUUUGAGGUACCUGGGAUUGUGGAGAAUAGAUAAGGUACCUGAAAAAAUAGGGAAUCUGAAGUUUUUGCAGACACUGGACUUGGGGGCUACUAGGAUAAAAGAAUUGCCACAAAGUUUUGGUCUGUUAAGGCAACUCAAGCGCUUGCAUUUUGGUGUCGCUGAAGGAAUAGUUGGCAUGCAUUUGCUGGGGAACCUAACAUCAUUGGAAGAUCUACAGUUGAGAUUUCGCACUUGGUCUCCUGAGUUUGUAGUAGAGCUGCGCAAGCUAACGAUGCUGAGGAAUCUCAAACUUUUCACUUACAAAGACUUGGAUGAUAGCCAGGUGAAAGCUCUGGUGAAGUCUCUUGGCAAACUGCAAGAGAUCCAAAUUCUGGACAUUUACUCUGCUAUUAAUGUGAGUAUUGGACCCCAAGGGUGGGAAGGUUAUGUACCACCUCGACAGCUCCGUGAAUUCAGGCUAAGAAUGGAGAAGGACAUGUUGCCGGUGUGGAUAAACCCGUCACUUGUUCAGAACCUCACCAGUUUAUGUUUCAAUCUGAAGGAAGUGAAGGCACGGGAUAUGGAGAUCCUUGGGAGUUUCCCAGAGCUCGUUGCUCUACGGUUGACUGAUCUGUUUCUGGGGUUGAGCGAGCCACAGGACUUUCUCCCAGACGUCAUGGGGGGGUUAUUCCCCAAGUUGAGGUACUUGAGUACACCUGCACCGCUGAGGUUUCUGCAGGGAGCGAUGCCGAGCCUUGAAUCCCUUGAUUACACUUAUCUCCAUGUGGAUCAGUUGAAGCGUGACACCAACUUUGUGUUUGAGUUUGGUAGCUGGGAAAACCUCCCUUCACUCCAGAAAGUGGAAGCUAUUAUCCUGAUAGGUACAGCUCAAGAGAACGAGGAUGAAGCUGUGGUUGCGCUGGAGCUCGCAGCCAGCCAACAUCCCAACCGUCCUAACCUUACAGUCAAGAAUUAG